rnacentral:rRNA from 1 species
CUACGGGACGCACCAGUGGGGAAUAUUGCACAAUGGGGGAAACCCUGAUGCAGCAACGCCGCGUGGAGGAUGACGCAUUUCGGUGUGUAAACUCCUUUAUAUAGGAAGAUAAUGACGGUACUAUAUGAAUAAGCACCGGCUAACUCCGUGCCAGCAGCCGCGGUAAUACGGAGGGUGCAAGCGUUACUCGGAAUCACUGGGCGUAAAGCGCGCGCAGGCGGCCUUUUAAGUUGGAUGUGAAAGCCUAUGGCUUAACCAUAGAACUGCAUCCAAAACUAUCAGGCUAGAGUCUGGGAGGGGAAGAUGGAAUUAGUUGUGUAGGGGUAAAAUCCGUAGAGAUAACUAGGAAUACCAAAAGCGAAGGCGAUCUUCUGGAACAGUACUGACGCUGAGGCGCGAAAGCGUGGGGAGCAAACAGGAUUAGAUACCCUUGUAGUC